rnacentral:rRNA from 1 species
UAGAUACCCUGGUAGUCCGCACGGUAAACGAUGAAUACUCGCAGUUCGGUUAUUAUGGUCGAGCUGUCCAGCGAAAGCGUUAAGUAUUCCACCUGGGGAGUACGCCGGCAACGGUGAAACUCAAAGGAAUUGACGGGGGCCCGCACAAGCGGAGGAACAUGUGGUUUAAUUCGAUGAUACGCGAGGAACCUUACCCGGGCUUGAACCAAGAGUGACGAGAGCAGAGAUGCUCUUUUCUUCGGACACUUUU